ensembl:lncRNA
CUUGGUCCUGGGGAGCCCCGCUCUGGACAUUUGUCUCCCUUAUUUGACACACUCAGUUCAGUUCAUGGAGUCUCUCCUAACGAGCUGAUGAUCUAAAUCAGGUGUGUCAUAUAAGGCAGACAUGCAACAUGUGCAGAGAGAUGGGUUCCCAGGAACAGAGCUAAGAACCACUGCACUAAAUAGUUUCAGUAAUGAAUCAUGCUGUGAUGUUGCAGAUAUUUAAUUAGAUUCUGCAUUCAUUAUUAUAUUUGAAAUAAAUACUGAAUAAAAGGCUAUUUGUAAAUGUAUCUUGUAUCAGUCAUCAAAAACAUAUACACAAUACUGACUCACUUGUGUGUUUUCAUUCAUCCAGGCCAGUGGAUGCAGUGUUUCUUCUACUUCGUUCUGCAUCUGAUGAUGUCCACAGGUGACCACAAUCACCAGGUGAAGUGUGUUUGUAGCAGGUGAGAUGGGUAACCUACAGGACGUGUGAUACAGUUAAAUCGAGGAUCUGUGUGGCCUGUUGGAAAAGUAUCUCUGGAUUGUCCCAGCUAUUUCUUCUAGACAGAGGAAGAUUAAACAAAGAGCAAACCGAUCAAAGCACCCGUUCAGUGGCUGAAGGACGUUCUUGUUGAAGAACAGACUCGCUGUGUUCUUCAUGAGCUCCUUACACACCAUCUCAGAGCUCGCGGAGCCUGAUGAGUCUCUGGAGCUUGCGUCUGGAGCUCAGAGCAUCCAUCAGACUAGCAAAGACUGGAGUUUAACCCUCAAAGAGCUUCGGGUGCCUACUAGCCACCAUGAUAGACAGACAACUAAACGGACAAGCAAGUCACCGUCUCAUAAGCAGGUGAAUCUGCCGCAGUGGCUGGUGAAUCUGAUGCGAGACAUCGAGGAGGCCACGACACAUGAGCUCACCAUUGAAUGAAGAUCCCUCAGACAGUGGGCUUUAACAGCCAACACAUAUUCUGCUGAGCAUUUCACCUCUCUUCACACCCGAGGUCAUCAUUUGUGUUUGUAAUAUUUAAAUGUAUUUUUUUCUGACGUUUAAUUCUCCAUCUCCAGUGCACUGUUUUUGUUCUUCUUGCACAAUCUAUGCCUGGACUUGUGUGGGUGGGAUGUAAAUGAUUUGCUCGUGGCGUGUGUGAGUAUAGGCACUGAUGGACCUACAGCAAUCCUGAAGAACAUCAGCUGUGUUUGUUCAAGCACACAAACAAAGCUUGAACUCAUAAGAUGUGCUCACCAUUAAAGCUCGAUUCAAUUAUUAAUGCUACUGGAAUCACAAAUCUGUAGCGUCUGAUGUUUUGAACUACUGGUUGACCUCAUGCAAGAGAUCUUGGUGUCCAACGUUAGACUAAUACUACACCAGGAGCUCUUAAUUACUGCACAGGCACCUCAUGACAAACAUGUUAUGAUGGCUGAAGACCUCAGAUUAACCCGUCCUGUUAUGCAAUGACCAUAUGACCUUGUUUUUGUGACACAACUCAAAGUGUGGUCAAAAACACAUUAUUGAGAUAUGCUCGCAUAACUCCUGUUGUGUGACAGACAAAUGUGUUUACAUGCUACGUUAUUGAUAUACAUGCUCAGAAAUGAGACGACAAAAGCUGUCACUGGGGUGGUACCUUUUCAAAAGAUGCACCUUUGUACGUUAUUUACACCAUAGUCAACAUUUGAAGAGGAUCAAAACCUUUCAUCAAAGUUGUCCUAAAACCAAAAUGGGUUCUUGUGUUAGGACAACCUUGAUUUUUUUUUUUUUGACCCACUUCAAAUGUUGACUAGUGUAGUUACAUUUUAGCACUUGAAGUGUGUGUAUUAGUACCUAAAUGAUGCAUAUUAGUACCAUUUGAAAGGGUGCCAUCCUAGUGACAGCUUUUGUAUGUUUUUUUUUUUUGUUUUUUUUUGAGUGCAGAUGAUAAACAGCAGCAUCAUGAACCUGUUUCUGGUGAAAUGGGUCACAGAUGUUGCGUCGUCCCAUAUUGCACACUUCGUCCUAGAGUAAAUAUUGACGUCUGCGCAACCAGAGCAAACCUGUGCACUGAAAACAGCAUAAUUAAUACAGGCGAGCGGCGUGUCAAUGGUUAACUCCUCUGAGGUCAUGUCACGGUAUAAAACACGGCACAGAGAGCAGAUCUGACAUACAGCAGCAGAUAUUGGCUUC